rnacentral:SRP_RNA from 3 species
UAUUGGUCCCCUCGCAACGAUAAUAUGUGAACUCGGCCAGGCCCGGAAGGGAGCAACCGCAGCGUAUGACUCGUGUGCCGGGGUGUGGCUGGUGGGG